rnacentral:lncRNA from 1 species
UUUCGUGAUCAUAUGCAUCCUAACAUUUAAUCGAAACUGCAACAUCUGCUGUGACUCAAAUUCAAAUCAUUUGAUUGGAAGCCAGUGAUCUGUUUCACUGGAUUGCCAUCACCUUUCACUUCAAGAAAAAAAAAUCGUGAUGCAUAAAAAGGAUCGGGAAACUCGGAUUACCUGCAUGAUUUAUAAGCUGGUAUGUAUCAUGCACGUAAAAAGUGACC